UGGGCAGUAAGGCCAAAUCUUUGGGGAGGGUGCAUAGUGCUGGGAGUGGGAUGGGGGGACAGAUUCACCAAGCUGGGAACAAAUAAAACAUAGACAUAUAUCACCAACAGCUGAGGAAACAUCAUCAUCAUCAUCAGAGCAUACCUUCUGUGGAGAUAAGUUAUUGCAUUUUGAAUAAUUUUUGCCAUUCACAACAAACACUUUACCUUUUGGACCAAGUCUCUUUUUUGUUCACCUAAAAAUUUCUCUGGAAUACAUCCUGGAUACAGAGUUCUUGAAUCAUCGGAGUCCACACCUUUACAUUACUAGCUUCAGCACUCUGGAAAACUUUCUCAAGGAGAUGAGCAAAACUGGCCAUUCCAUUAUAUUGAAAAGUCAAGACAUGGGGACAUCAACACGAGCCUUUCGUUUACCGCUGGAACUCUUACCUCUCGACUUUGACCUGGGAGGCAGUCAUCAUGCCCUAUUUUACACUGCUUCAUGUCUUAAACUCACCCUUUAUCAAUGAUGAUAUUGCUGCCAUUCACUGUUACAGAUCUCAUGGUUCAAAGUACUGAGCUCUUGCCUUGUUACAUGGAAACAAUGUUGGGAAUACUCUUUUAUCCAAAACAACUUACAGUGCAUUUGAGGUAUCCCAUUGGUAAAAAACAACAACGGACAAACAUGUAAACCUAUUUUGAGUGCCCUUACAUUGAAAUCUUUAUUUAUCCCCUCUGAAACUGACAUUUGUUUAGUCUGAGUGUAAAAACUGAAACUGUGUAAAAUGUGUGACUGUCUAUAGUUAUAGCAUGUCAGAGAUCCAGACAGUGUGUGUAACCAUUGAAAAAAAGCAGCAGAAAUGCAACAUCACUAAUGUUUCGAUCUUAGCACAGAACAAACUCAGCUUUGAGAUAAGUGGGUAGGUUAUGGGGAGUGAAAAUAACCAUGUUUCUGUUGGUCAGAACCCUUCUCCACAAUGUCAACAGCUCUCAGUUUCAACAAAAAUGCUUUAGAGAACUAUAUUGGUUAGAUUUGCACCUGAUUUCCGGUUUAGAUCAUCUAACAUGAAGACUACACUGCCCAAUGUGAUUUAGGGGCCAAAUAGAAACAUGUCCCUGACAAUUUCAAUCUGGUUUAAAGGUUGCUGAAGACUGAACAACAACUUUCAUUAAUGAGCAUCUCACUGUGGACUGAGAGACAUGACAAUGGGAGUGAGGGUUUGAUGAUUGAGAGUGAAGGAAAUGAACGUAAUGGUCUCCUGAUCUCAAUGUACCAGAGAAAUACAAACACAUGAGAGAAGCACGGGAGAUUUGCAACAAGUAAUCUGAGCUAAUCACGAUCCAAUUAAGCAGUGUUCUAGAUUUCUUUGCUAGCAGCCAUUAAUUAAGAUUCAAAUUUAUUUUUCUUCGUCAAGUCCUUUGUCCUGUGUAACUUGUCAUUUAAAUGUUUCAAACAGAUCUGGCAUGGCCAUACAAGAGGUGUGGGAAGGGGAGAAAGGCCUCUGCCCUUUUCAAAAAAGCGUCUUUGUGUUUAUAAUAAUCUGUGCUGUCUGAAGUCCAUUUUUGUAAUACUUUCUUGUUCAUUUUUCCACUCUGCAUUAGCAUAGCAUAAUGCGUUUCAUGUGUUUAACAAUUCCUACAUUAUGCCAUCCAGAUGGUAGAACCUUGGAAAGUUUGGUUCUAACCACUGUGCUGUAUACUUAAUAAAUAUGUGCUGACAUUAA